rnacentral:rRNA from 1 species
AUGGAAGCUCCGGUGGCUAGCCGGACUAGCGAGUUUGCCCAUUUAGAACGGCAGUUGGAUGCGGCAGACGCCGACAUCGAGCUUGUUAACAAAAGGCUUGACGAGGCACAUGAUGGAGCUGCCACUGUUGAAGCCUUGCGGGCAGAACUUGCCCGAGCCAAGGAACAAGCGAGGUUGAGUAAUGCGGCUGCUGUGAAGGCGGCCGAAGAGUUGCAAGCCGAGAAGGCCGCGCAUGGCGAGACCCGAGACAAGAUGGCCAAGAUGGCUAUAGAAUUAAAAGCUGCUGCCGACCGUUGCCGGGUUCUUGAAAAGGAAAACCAAGCGAAGGCAUUGGACCUUGAGAAGGCUGCUGCGACGAAGAAGGAUCUCCGCUCUGCUAUGAGGGCAAAGAAGGAGGAGCUGCGGGAAGCCGGGGAUAUUGUAGCUGGGAAAUCCUUUAUGUCGCGGAGGAUAUUCGGAGAUCCACGGUAUGCCCCUCUGGAUCGGUUGUGGAGUUCGGAGGAUGUGUAUAUGGAUUAG